rnacentral:rRNA from 1 species
CUACGGGGUGCAGCAGGCGCGAAAACUUUACAAUGCUGGCAACAGCGAUAAGGGAACCUCGAGUGCCAGGUUACAAAUCUGGCUGUCGAGAUGCCUAAAAAGCAUUUCAUAGCAAGGGCCGGGCAAGGCCGGUGCCAGCCGCCGCGGUAACACCGGCGGCUCGAGUGGUAACCGUUAUUAUUGGGUCUAAAGGGUCUGUAGCCGGCCGGAUAAGUCUCUUGAGAAAUCUGGCAGCUUAACUGUCAGGCUUUCAGGAGAUACUGUCUGGCUCGAGGCCGGGAGAGGUGAGAGGUACUUCAGGGGUAGGGGUGAAAUCUUGUAAUCCUUGAAGGACCACCAGUGGCGAAGGCGUCUCACCAGAACGGACCUGACGGCAAGGGACGAAAGCUAGGGGCACGAACCGGAUUAGAUACCCGGGUAGUCCUAGCCGUAAACGAUACUCGCUAGGUGUCGGCCACGGUGCGACCGUUGUCGGUGCCGUAGGGAAGCCGUGAAGCGAGC